rnacentral:rRNA from 1 species
GAUGAACGCUGGCGGCGUGCCUAAUACAUGCAAGUCGAGCGAACAGACGAGGAGCUUGCUCCUCUGACGUUAGCGGCGGACGGGUGAGUAACACGUGGAUAACCUACCUAUAAGACUGGGAUAACUUCGGGAAACCGGAGCUAAUACCGGAUAAUAUAUUGAACCGCAUGGUUCAAUAGUGAAAGACGGUUUUGCUGUCACUUAUAGAUGGAUCCGCGCCGCAUUAGCUAGUUGGUAGGGUAACGGCUUACCAAGGCAACGAUGCGUAGCCGACCUGAGAGGGGGACCGGCCACAGUGGGAAGGAGAGACGGACAAGACUCCUACGGGAGGCAGCAGUGGGGAAUAUUGCACAAUGGGCGGAAGCCGGAUGCAGCAACGCCGCGUGCGGGAUGACGGCCUUCGGGUGGUAAACCGCUUUCGCCUGUGACGAAGCGUGAGUGACGGUAAGGGGUAAAGAAGCACCGGCUAACUACGUG